UAUUGCACAAUGGGGGAAACCCUGAUGCAGCGACGCCGCGUGAGUGAAGAAGUAUUUCGGUAUGUAAAGCUCUAUCAGCAGGGAAGAAAAUGACGGUACAUGAUUAAGAAGCCCCGGCUAACUACGCGCCAGCAGCCGCGGUAAUACGUAGGGGGCAAGCGUUAUCCGGAUUUACUGAGUGUAAAGGGAGCGUAGACGGCAGCACAAGUCUGGAGUGAAAUGCCGGAGCUUAACCCCGGAACUGCUUUGGAAACUGUGCAGAUAGAGUGCAGGAGAAGUAAGUGGAAUUCCUAGUGUAGCGGUGAAAUGCGUAGAUAUUAGGAGGAACACCAGUGGCGAAGGCGGCUUACUGGACUGUAACUGACGUUGAGACUCGAAAGCGUGGGGAGCAAACAGG
rnacentral:rRNA from 1 species